rnacentral:rRNA from 1 species
CCUCUAAGGUGACUGCCGGUGACAAACCGGAGGAAGGUGGGGAUGACGUCAAAUCAUCAUGCCCCUUAUGACCUGGGCUACACACGUGCUACAAUGGAUGGUACAAAGGGUUGCGAAGCCGCGAGGUGAAGCCAAUCCCAGAAAGCCAUUCUCAGUUCGGAUUGCAGGCUGCAACUCGCCUGCAUGAAGCCGGAAUUGCUAGUAAUCGCGGAUCAGCAUGCCGCGGUGAAUACGUUCCCGGGCCUUGUACACACCGCCCGUCACACCACGAGAGUUUGUAACACCCGAAGUCGGUGGGGUAACCUUUUGGAGCCAGCCGCCUAAGGUGGGACAGAUGAUUGGGGUGAAGUCGU